UGUGUAGGCGGUGCUCUAAGUCUGUUGUGAAAUCUCCCGGCUUAACUGGGAGGGUGCGGCGGAAACUGGAGUGCUCGAGGAUGGGAGAGGUAAGCGGAAUUCCUGGUGUAGCGGUGAAAUGCGUAGAUAUCAGGAGGAACACCUGUGGUGUAGACAGCUUACUGGACCAUAUCUGACGCUGAGACACGAAAGCGUGGGUAGCAAACAGGAUUAGAUACCCUGGUAGUCCACGCCCUAAACGAUGCAUACUUGGUGUGAGCGAUUCAUUUCGUUCGUGCCGGAGCUAACGCGUUAAGUAUGCCGCCUGGGGAGUACGGUCGCAAGGCUGAA
rnacentral:rRNA from 1 species